rnacentral:lncRNA from 1 species
AUAUGGAAUAACUUUUCCAGCAAGUGAGGACAAAUCCUACAAUGACCUUCUGCCAAGAAUAACACAAGUUACAUAUUGUAGUACUUGGGAAUCUGAUUAAAGAGGUAUCUGACUUACAGACCUUUUUAUUUAACCCUUUUUCUGCUUUCUUCUUUUUCCCUAAAGCUGAUAUGCAUACCCAUUUGCUCCUAUUAUUGAUUUUUAAUGUGUAAAUAAGGGAAAAGAAUGUGACCUUUUCUAAUUUCUAUCUAGUCUCUAGCUAACAAUCCAGCCUAAUUUAUUAUCUUUUACAUAAAACUUUCACAAUCUCUGACACCAGUCAUUAUACAAUCAUCAAUUCCGUGAUAUUCACUGUCCUUCAAUUCUGUAUAGGCUACUGCUUGUAUCUAUAUAAAGGGUAGUUGAGGUUCUUCACUUCCACCAAGAAGGUUAGAUGAUACAGAAUCCCCAAGAGAAUUAACCAGAGAGCCCGUAGCUCAGAAGUCCAAUCUAUAUAUUUAUAGUAAAGGAGAAAUUAAAGAAGAAGAAAAGAUGGGUCGUAAAGUAGACCAUGAUGAGAACAUUAAAGGUGAAAUGAUAAUGAAGCCACUUGAAGAAGCAGUACUGAAAGACAUGUCCACUACUAAAAAGGAUGUCAAUAAAGGAACAUGGACAGCAGAAGAAGAUAGAAAACUGGCUGAGGUUAUUGCAAUUCAUGGGACCAAAAGGUGGAAGAUAAUUGCAGCCAAAGCAGGUUUUCUUUCUUUCUCUUUUUCUUUUCACUUUCUUGUUCUAUAUACUACAAAGAUGGAAGAGACAUUAUACAAAUGGCUUGAAUGGUACCUCUCAUUUGAUGUUUUCUUGGGCUGCAGGUCUCAAUAGGUGUGGCAAGAGUUGCAGGCUACGAUGGAUGAAUUAUCUGAGACCAAACAUCAAGAGAGGCAAUAUAUCAGAACAAGAAGAAGAUUUGAUACUUAGGCUUCAUAAACUUCUUGGAAACAGGUUAUAUAUACAUAUAUAUGUAUUUAUAUAUAUGUGUGCUUGUGUGUGUACGAUGGUGAUGAUGAUAAUGAUUAUAUUAUAUACAAUGGGUUCUUUCUAAAGUAAGCAAGCUGUGUUAAUUAGGUGGUCUCUGAUUGCUGGAAGAUUACCCGGGCGAACCGACAACGAGAUAAAGAACUACUGGAAUUCUCAUUUGAGCAAGAAGAUAGAGCUGAAAGACAGACAAAGUGGAGCUUCAGAAAUCAGAGAAAUGUAUGUUGGUGAAAAAAGAAAAGUAAUGGAGAGCAAGGAGAUUAAUUUAGAAGUAAUGAAGGAAGAAGAGAUUAAUGGCUGUAAUGGAGGGGAAGGCUCACCCUCAGGGAGCUUUAAUGUUGAUGAUUUCUUUGAUUUUUCCAAUGAGGACCCACUGAACUUGGAGUGGAUGAGUAGAUUUGUUCAGCUUUGAUUCUAAGGGCUUGUUUGGCAUGGAAAUUAAGUUGAUUAGUACUCAAGGGUUUAUGUUUGUGUGCAGCUUUUUUAGCAUGAUACAAAAAGUUCACACAGCAUGUCUACUUGUUUCAAUUAAAUCUUUGUUUCAAGUGUGUUUGUUAACCUUAAAUCACUGCUACUCAAUCUACAUAAACUUCGAACAAUAAUUCACAGUAAUUAUUUCAGUUUUCUCUACUGUGAUUAUAUGGUUUUAAUUCUAGUACUUAGUACUCCAGAAGUAAAAUACUAAAUGUAUUAGAUUAAUGUGAAGGACUGCUCCAUUUAGAUCCUUCUUAAGAAAUUUAAUUUCAGUAUGUUAAAGCUCAAUAGUCUUACUGUUAAAUCAAAAAAUUCACUAGGAAAAUUUCAUUUCAUACCUUUAAAUGUAUUCCUCCUAUAUAUAAACUAAAGCAGCAAUAUACAUAACUUAAGUACAAUAAAUCAUGUUUCAACAAAUUAUACAAAAGACUAAAACAAGGACUGAAUAAAAAAUAAACCAAACACGGUAUAACUUUAUUUCCUAAUAUCUGCUACUAAAUCUAUUUAAUAAAGUUUCAAUUCUUAUAUAUAAAUUUUUGAAAAUACCGAAUGCACGAAAUUGAUUUAGAGAGAAAUGCACACUUGAAAUUAUUAAGGAUGUUAUUCAAUCUUGAUAUAUUAAAGCUGGUCUAAGAAUUCUCUUGCUACAAAAAACAAAAUAGUUUACAUCUAAAUAAUUUUUUGUAAGAGGUUGAACUUAAAUACUCACUAUUAAAAAAUGCAAGAUGGCAGAGGACUAAUCAAAGGCAAUAAAUUAUGUAAGUUAUGUUAAGAUUAGUGUGAGAUAGAAGUAAAACUAUAAAUUAACCAAAAAAUUAAAAUUAAAAUUGUCAAGAACAAUAUAACUUUAUUCAUAAAAAGUUAAAAAAAAAUAACUACAUAAAAUAUAUUCCAAUUUAUUCUCAUAAAAAGCUAUGUGAUCCAAGCAACGUAACUCUUUUGCAUGCAUGAGCAUGCAUCAUAAAUUGCUUACGUACGGAAAUAGAUCCUCAUCUGUGUACUUUAGAUCUUUGACAUCACAAUAAAUAUAUAAUAAAUCACCACAUGCAAACCUUUCAUUCUGCAACUGGUGGCAUUCCCUUUUACGGGUUACUUUGUCUGGCCUCACAGGGAGCUGCACAGGCUUCUAAUUACUUGAUCAAAGUGAGAAUUACAGCUCCAAGUAACUGAAAUUUACCGAGCAAGACACAGGAUCCAAGAAAAAAUAACUCAAAGUCAAAAUGAAUUUGAAUAACAAAGCUUAUACCCCUCAAUAAUUCAUUCUGUAGGGUACAGGGUCCUGCCAGCCAAUUUUGGGUCCCAAUUGAAUUACAUGUGCAGACUGCAUCCCUAUAUAGAAAUAUAUUCUAUGGGAAUAUAUUCCCCUAAUGUCAAGACUCUGAGACUGACUAUAAAUAAGAUUCUAGUUCAAAUGCAGUUCACCCAGUUGAGAUCCUGCAAAUGGAUACUGCAUGUUAGUUUUGUCUUAUCAAUUACCUUCAGUGACUUAUCUCAAAAAAAAAAAAAAUCAAUUACCUUCAGUGACUAAAAGCAUCUAAUAGCUUUUGUCUAAAAGCAUUUUUAGUUGGUUUCUACUUAUCAAUGGUAAGAAAAUUUCUAAUCCUUCUAUACUAAUUUAAUAACUGCCCAGUAAUCAUCUAAUAUCAUACAACUAUCUGAAUCCUACAUAAUGUUUAAGUGACUAGUAUUUUAAGUUAUUAAAUUACUCAAGGAUGUUGAAUAAUCAUCACAGGGCUUGAAACAUGAGUGUCCUAAGCAACACCACAGUAGCACCCUUGG